AGUCGUAACAAGGUAUCCGUAGGUGAACCUGCGGAUGGAUCAUUACAAAAGAUUCAUCUCUAACGUAUUGUGAACCAUUUGAUCAACCGUCAGUGUGUUAAGCCGUUCGCGGUACUUAUCGCAGUAAUCAGUCAUGACCUACUUAGUUUGUCAUGACCUACUGCACCCACUGACGGUACUAUACUAAACGUAUUGCCAAUUCCAAAACUGAAGUCUUUUUAGUUACUAACUAAAGAUAACUUUUAGCAACGGAUCUCUUGGCUCUC
rnacentral:misc_RNA from 1 species